rnacentral:rRNA from 1 species
GACGAACGCUGGCGGCGUGCUUAAUACAUGCAAGUCAACUGAGCUUAAGAUAGCAAUAUUUUAAGUGCGGUGGCGCACGGGUGAGUAACACGUAGGUAAUCUGCCUUUAGGUCUGACAUAAUCCCGCGAAAGCGGGACUAAAAUCAGAUGAUGCGGCGGCUCGACAUCGAGACAGUUGUUAAACCUUCGGGGCCUAAAGAUGAGCCUGCGUCUGAUUAGGUAGUGGCGGGGUAAAGGCCCACCAAGCCUGCGAUCAGUAGCUGGUCUGAGAGGAUGAUCAGCCACACUGGAACUGAGACACGGCCCAGACUCCUACGGGAGGCAGCAGUGGGGAAUCUUGCGCAAUGGGCGAAAGCCUGACGCAGCGACGCCGCGUGAGGGAUGACGGCCU